rnacentral:rRNA from 1 species
UGACCGCUGGCGGCAUGCCUAACACAUGCAAGUCGAACGAAGGCUUCGGCCUUAGUGGCGCACGGGUGCGUAACGCGUGGGAAUCUGCCCCUUGGUUCGGAAUAACAGUUAGAAAUGACUGCUAAUACCGGAUGAUGACGUAAGUCCAAAGAUUUAUCGCCGAGGGAUGAGCCCGCGUAGGAUUAGCUAGUUGGUGUGGUAAGAGCGCACCAAGGCGACGAUCCUUAGCUGGUCUGAGAGGAUGAUCAGCCACACUGGGACUGAGACACGGCUCAGACUCCUACGGGAGGCAGCAGUGGGGAAUAUUGGACAAUGGGCGAAAGCCUGAUCCAGCAAUGCCGCGUGAGUGAUGAAGGCCUUAGGGUUGUAAAGCUCUUUUACCCGGGAUGAUAAUGACAGUACCGGGAGAAUAAGCUCCGGCUAACUCCGUG